CAGUAGCCGCGGGAAUACGUAUGUCACAAGCGUUAUCCGGAUUUAUUGGGCGUAAAGCGCGUCUAGGUGGUUAUGUAAGUCAGAUGUGAAAAUGCAGGGCUCAACUCUGUAUUGCGUUGGAAACUGUAUAACUAGAGUACUGGAGAGGUAAGCGGAACUACAAGUGUAGAGGUGAAAUUCGUAGAUAUUUGUAGGAAUGCCGAUGGGGAAGCCAGCUUACUGGACAGAUACUGACGCUGAAGCGCGAAAGCGUGGGUAGCAAACAGGAUUAGAUACCCCAGUAGUCCCUGUCUCUUAUACA
rnacentral:rRNA from 1 species